rnacentral:rRNA from 1 species
CUUCGGAAUGAAUUUGAUUUAGUUUAGUGGCGGACGGGUGAGUAACGCGUGAGUAACCUGCCUUCAAGAGGGGGAUAACAUUCUGAAAAGAAUGCUAAUACCGCAUGACAUAUCGGAACCACAUGGUUCUGAUAUCAAAGAUUUUAUCGCUUGAAGAUGGACUCGCGUCCGAUUAGUUAGUUGGUGAGGUAACGGCUCACCAAGACCGCGAUCGGUAGCCGGACUGAGAGGUUGAACGGCCACAUUGGGACUGAGACACGGCCCAGACUCCUACGGGAGGCAGCAGUGGGGGAUAUUGCGCAAUGGGGGCAACCCUGACGCAGCAACGCCGCGUGAAGGAUGAAGGUUUUCGGAUUGUAAACUUCUUUUAUUAAGGACGAAAAAUGACGGUACUUAAUGAAUAAGCUCCGGCUAACUACGUGCCAGCAGCCGCGGUAAUACGUAGGGAGCAAGCGUUGUCCGGAUUUACUGGGUGUAAAGGGUGCGUAGGCGGCUUUGCAAGUCAGAUGUGAAAUCUAUGGGCUCAACCCAUAAACUGCAUUUGAAACUGUAGAGCUUGAGUGAAGUAGAGGCGGGCGGAAUUCCCCGUGUAGCGGUGAAAUGCGUAGAGAUGGGGAGGAGCACCAGUGGCGAAGGCGGCCUGCUGGGCUUUAACUGACGCUGAGGCACGAAAGCGUGGGUAGCAAACAGGAUUAGAUACCCUGGUAGUCCACGC